UACGUAGGGGGCAAGCGUUGUCCGGAAUCAUUGGGCGUAAAGAGCGUGUAGGCGGCUUGGUAAGUCCGCUGUGAAAGUCCAGGGCUCAACCCUGGAAUGCCGGUGGAAACUGUCAAGCUUGAGUCCGGAAGAGGCGAGUGGAAUUCCUGGUGUAGCGGUGAAAUGCGCAGAUAUCAGGAGGAACACCAGUGGCGAAGGCGGCUUUCUGGACGGUAACUGACGCUGAGACGCGAAAGCGUGGGGAGCAAACAGG
rnacentral:rRNA from 1 species